rnacentral:rRNA from 1 species
GAUGAACGCUAGCUACAGGCUUAACACAUGCAAGUCGAGGGGUAGCAGGGUAGCAAUACCGCUGACGACCGGCGCACGGGUGAGUAACACGUAUCCAACCUUCCCAUAACUCAGGGAUAGCCUUUCGAAAGAAAGAUUAAUACCUGAUAGUACUUAAAAAAGGCAUCUUUUUUAAGUUAAAGAUUUAUUGGUUAUGGAUGGGGAUGCGUUCCAUUAGAUAGUUGGUGAGGUAACGGCUCACCAAGUCUUCGAUGGAUAGGGGUUCUGAGAGGAAGGUCCCCCACAUUGGUACUGAGACACGGACCAAACUCCUACGGGAGGCAGCAGUGAGGAAUAUUGGUCAAUGGGCGAGAGCCUGAACCAGCCAAGUAGCGUGAAGGAUGAAGGUCCUAUGGAUUGUAAACUUCUUUUAUAGUAGAAUAAAGUGAGCCACGUGUGGUUUUUUGUAUGUAUACUAUGAAUAAGGAUCGGCUAACUCCGUGCCAGCAGCCGCCGUAACAC